UAGUCCACACCGUAAACGGUGAGUGCUCGUCGUCGUGGGUAUUGACCCCUGCGGUGACCAAGCUAACGCAUGAGGCACUCCGCCUGGGAAGUACGGUCGCAAGACUAAAACUCAAAGAAAUUGACGGGGGCCCGCACAAGCGGUGGAGCAUGUUGUUUAAUUCGAAGCAACGCGCAGAACCUUACCUGGGCUCGAACGCAACUGGACCGCUCCUGAAAGGGAGCUUUUCUUCGGAACCGGUUGUGAGGUGCUGCAUGGUUGUCGUCAGCUCGUGCCGUGAGGUGUUGGGUUAAGUCCCGCAACGAGCGCAACCCUCAUCUUUAGUUGCCAGCAAGUCAUGUUGGGGACUCUAAAGAAACUGCCUACGCAAGUAGUGAGGAAGGGGGGAUGACGUCAAAUCAUCAUGGCCUUUAUGCCCAGGGCUACACACGUGCUACAAUGGACGGUACAAAGGGCAGCAAGACUGCGAAGUCAAGCGAAUCCCAAAAAGCCGUUCUCAGUUCGGA
rnacentral:rRNA from 1 species